UUAUUUAGUUCACUCGUGGUACCAGCAGGGGGCAAAUACUUUUAACUGUAUAUGUAUAGUUUUUGGGCCUCCUGCUCAUCGUUCUAAUAACUCAGUUGCAGUGUGCGUGUCCCUGUUUGUCUUCAUCCUCUUGGGGGCCACGGGGCUCCUUCCCAGCGGAUGUAGUGGGGAUCAGGAGGGGACACCUGCUGCUCGGAUAGCACAGAGCCAGCAGGCGGAGGCCUCGCCGCCCCCCGAGUGGAGAGUCUCCACCUCUUCCUCUUCCAGCCAAGCCGAGGCCUGCUAUGUAAACGUGGAGCCCCCCCCGCCCCGCCAGACCAGCAGCACCAUCGUGGGCCCGAGGGAGGAGACUGGGUCGCCUCAGGGCGAGGGUGAUGGCGGCGUGGGUACGGAAGGACACGGGGGGGAGCAAGAGGCGUCGGGCUCACAGGGUGCCCCCCCCGGGCGAGGAAGACCACAUCAACUCUUUGUACAGUGUGUUGCAGGCGCCCAAAAGGUCCAGAUCCCCCCAAUAGAAGCUUUGAGGAUCCGGAGAGAUGAACAGAAUGAGGAUACAGACGUCCUUCUUCCACCUGAACCUGGAGAACACGAGCAGCUGAAUCUGAAAUGUCCUCAGAGGACCACAAGGGGGCGUCAGAGUGCCACAACCUGCACCUGCGAGUCCUCCUUUAGUCUGGGACUCGGCCCGCUGUGGUUCUGUCCCAGGGGGCCAUGUCCAGGAGCGUUUUGGAGGGCAGGUGCUCAAAAUGAAACAAAACCCAUCGGCAAAAUUAUUCAUGACAUUAAAAAUACUAUUAAAACAAAUAAAUAAAAAAAACAGUAGGAUAUUUUCCCCGUC